AAUGCGCUAAGUAAUGUGAAUUGCAGAAUUCAGUGAAUCAUCGAAUCUUUGAACGCACAUUGCGCCCGCCAGUAUUCUGGCGGGCAUGCCUGUUCGAGCGUCAUUUCAACCAUCAAGCCCCGCGCUUGUGUUGGGGACCUGCGGCUGCCGCAGGCCCUGAAAACCAGUGGCGGGCUCGCUGUCACACCGGGCGUAGUAGAUUUUAUCUCGCUCAGGGCGUGCUGCGGGUUCCGGCCGUUAAAAAGCCUUUUUUACCCAAGGUUGACCUCGGAUCAGGUAGGAAGACCCGCUGAACUUAAGC
rnacentral:misc_RNA from 1 species